UACGUAGGGUGCAAGCGUUAAUCGGAAUUACUGGGCGUAAAGCGUGCGCAGGCGGUUUUGUAAGUCUGCCGUGAAAUCCCCGGGCUCAACCUGGGAAUUGCGUUGGAGACUGCAAGGCUGGAGUCUGGCAGAGGGGGGUAGAAUUCCACGUGUAGCAGUGAAAUGCGUAGAGAUGUGGAGGAACACCGAUGGCGAAGGCAGCCCCCUGGGUCAAGACUGACGCUCAUGCACGAAAGCGUGGGGAGCAAACAGG
rnacentral:rRNA from 1 species